GGGUUAGUUGAAUUAGCGAUUUCGCGACAUCAUGUUUUACUCUGGCUUUAAGCGAGUUUCCGGGCGCAGAACUUUUUUCCCAACUACUUUGGAAGUUUAAAGUUCUUCACUUGCAUCUGCUUUCUAAGUGAUCAUUUUUAUUUUUGACCUAAUGUCUAUUUCUUCGCUCUCUAAGACGGUAAAGAAGAAGAUUUUGCUCUUAGACAAUUAUUGCUGAAAUAAAACAUUGAAUUUAACAUGA